UGGGGAAUUGUUCACAAUGGGCGCAAGCCUGAUGACGCAACGCCGCGUGGGGGAUGAAGGUCUUCGGAUCGUAAACCCCUGCCGAAUGGGACGAAAGACUCGCGAGUUAAUACUCCGCGAGAGUGACGGUACCGUUAAAGGAAGCCACGGCUAACUCUGUGCCAGCAGCCGCGGUGAUACAGAGGUGGCAAGCGUUGUUCGGAAUUACUGGGCGUAAAGGGCGCGUAGGCGGCCUGUUAAGUCGAACGUGAAAUCCCCGGGCUCAACCCGGGAACUGCGUCCGAUACUGGCAGGCUCGAAUCCGGGAGAGGGAUGUGGAAUUCCAGGUGUAGCGGUGAAAUGCGUAGAUAUCUGGAGGAACACCGGUGGCGAAGGCGGCAUCCUGGACCGACACUGACGCUGAGGCGCGAAAGCCAGGGGAGCAA
rnacentral:rRNA from 1 species